UACGUAGGGAGCAAGCGUUAUCCGGAUUUACUGGGUGUAAAGGGCGUGUAGGCGGGCUUGCAAGUCAGAAGUGAAAUCUGGGGGCUUAACCCCCAAACUGCUUUUGAAACUGUGGGUCUUGAGUGAUGGAGAGGCAGGCGGAAUUCCCAGUGUAGCGGUGAAAUGCGUAGAUAUUGGGAGGAACACCAGUGGCGAAGGCGGCCUGCUGGACAUUAACUGACGCUGAGGCGCGAAAGCGUGGGGAGCA
rnacentral:rRNA from 1 species